AGCGAACGCUGGCGGCAGGCCUAACACAUGCAAGUCGAGCGCCCAGCAAUGGGAGCGGCAGACGGGUGAGUAACACGUGGGGAUGUGCCCAAAGGUACGGAAUAGCUCCGGGAAACUGGAAUUAAUACCGUAUGUGCCCUUCGGGGGAAAGGUUUAUCGCCUUUGGAUCAACCCGCGUCUGAUUAGCUAGUUGGUGAGGUAAAGGCUCACCAAGGCGACGAUCAGUAGCUGGUCUGAGAGGAUGAUCAGCCACACUGGGACUGAGACACGGCCCAGACUCCUACGGGAGGCAGCAGUGGGGAAUAUUGGACAAUGGGCGCAAGCCUGAUCCAGCCAUGCCGCGUGAGUGAUGAAGGCCUUAGGGUUGUAAAGCUCUUUCGCCGGUGAAGAUAAUGACGGUAACCGGAGAAGAAGCCCCGGCUAACUUCGUGCCAGCAGCCGCCGCUGUAA
rnacentral:rRNA from 1 species